UACGUAGGGUGCGAGCGUUGUCCGGAAUUAUUGGGCGUAAAGAGCUUGUAGGCGGUCUGUCGCGUCUGCUGUGAAAACCCGCGGCUCAACCGUGUGGUCUGCAGUCGAUACGGGCAGGCUAGAGUUCGGUAGGGGAGACUGGAAUUCCUGGUGUAGCGGUGAAAUGCGCAGAUAUCAGGAGGAACACCGGUGGCGAAGGCGGGUCUCUGGGCCGAUACUGACGCUGAGGAGCGAAAGCGUGGGGAGCGAACAGG
rnacentral:rRNA from 1 species